AGUCGAGCGGUAGAGAGGUGCUUGCUCCUCUUGAGAGCGGCGGACGGGUGAGUAAAGCCUAGGAAUCUGCCUGGUAGUGGGGGAUAACGCUCGGAAACGGACGCUAAUACCGCAUACGUCCUACGGGAGAAAGCAGGGGACCUUCGGGCCUUGCGCUAUCAGAUGAGCCUAGGUCGGAUUAGCUAGUUGGUGAGGUAAUGGCUCACCAAGGCGACGAUCCGUAACUGGUCUGAGAGGAUGAUCAGUCACACUGGAACUGAGACACGGUCCAGACUCCUACGGGAGGCAGCAGUGGGGAAUAUUGGACAAUGGGCGAAAGCCUGAUCCAGCCAUGCCGCGUGUGUGAAGAAGGUCUUCGGAUUGUAAAGCACUUUAAGUUGGGAGGAAGGGCAUUAACCUAAUACGUUGGUGUUUUGACGUUACCGACAGAAUAAGCACCGGCUAACUCUGUGCCAGCAGCCGCGGUAAUACAGAGGGUGCAAGCGUUAAUCGGAAUUACUGGGCGUAAAGCGCGCGUAGGUGGUUCGUUAAGUUGGAUGUGAAAUCCCCGGGCUCAACCUGGGAACUGCAUUCAAAACUG
rnacentral:rRNA from 1 species